UGACAAGGAAUAAUAUUUUUCUUUUCAUUCCUCUAAUUUUUUUCCUCUGCAUUUUUUUCUACUUAUUCAUAAUGUUCCUCUAACAAGCUUCUUCGUCUGUUCUUCAUCUCUUCUUCUCCGUUUACUGACUCUUGCCGCUUCCUCAUGGCUGGAGUCGGGUUUAGAUUAUUGUUUUUUCCGUUUGCUUGCAUGUUUGAUUUUGGAGGUGUUAAGCUAAAGCUCCAGAUCUGUUCAGAUUUAGCUUGUUUUGAGGUCAUAGCCCCGAAUCUGCAAGAUUAACGGCUUGGUCUUGUGUCUUCUAAGUUGCAUGCACCUUAUCUCUACUGGUGGUGUUUUUGGUCAAAUCUGAUAUUGGCGGAAGUGGUCCAGUUCGCUCCUUGUCUUCACUCCAGAGUGCUUAUUCACACUGGAGGUGUCUAGUUCGUCGCCUCUUCUUCAAAGAACGGCUUGGAAUAUUGGUGUUAUGUUGCUUAGGAGCAUUUCUUCCUUUUUGUCUUUGUUUUCGGCUCUUAAUCUUUUUUUUUAUUUCUCCAUCAUUAUCAUUAUGUUUUAGUUUAAGUUUGCGUUAAUAUGCUUCCUUUGUUUGGGUUUUGGCUCUGGAGAACUUGUUCUGCCGGCUUAGACUUCGGGUUAUUCUGGCGUGGUUUUAUCAGAUGAUGUAUCUCUCUGUUAAUGUUGGUUGUUUAAUUGAAGUAUCUUUCAGUGUUAAAAAAAAACUAAGGUCGGUUCUUGGGUUCUAGCAUCAAUCCUGACUGGUCCAGGACUACUGCUAGCCUUCAACGUAACAGACUCACCAAGUUGGACGCGCGGCUUGUCAAAAUGACGUUCCAGGCAUCGAUCUACUGGAUUUGGAGGGAGAGAAACGGGUGACGUCAUCAUCACCCCCCAAACUCUGUGGUCUAUAUUGCUCGUACUGUCCACCGAGAAUUGCAGAGUCGUCUUCGGGCACUACAUCAAGGAAGUACUGAAGAUGAUAAUGAAGGGCUGAGAAGAUGGAACACUAUGACAGUGCUGCCUUAGUACAGCAUGUUGAUACUCUUCCUCUAUUUUUUUACACAAUAGUCUUUGUUGUUCUCUAAGCAAAAGUAGAGCGUUCUUGUGCUCGACACUCAUAUCUACCUUCCUGUGUCUUUUGAUCCCUUAGUUUAGGAUCACAAGAUUGUACAAUUCUUUUUGUUGUUAUAAAGUUCACAUUUCAACAAAAAAAAAUUAAGAUGACU